CUACCUUAGAACAGGAAAGAGAAGCAUAUGUAGCAAAUCAUUGGGCUGGGUCCAGCAUCUUUAUUCCUCAUUACCUUCUACAUCUAAUACAAUUGCUCAUUGAAAUAAUCACUGUCUUCACCUGGUGGCACCGUUCUAUUUUGCUUAUAAGACAGGCUGGCAGCAAAACCUCUUUCACUGAGCUUGGAUUCAUUUCCCUUAGCAGAUGAUUUCAAUAACUUCACAUCAUUUUUCAUCUGGCAAGUCAAGGAAGCCAAGUUUUGAGAGAAAUAAAGCUUGUUCCUUGGAGUGGAACCGUGCCAGGGAAGGUGAAACAACUUCAUUUUCCACGCGGACAUGUGGGCCCUUCUAGUUUUUGCGCGGAGAGCUGCCUGGAUUUGCUCAAAUCAACUUGUGGUGCUCAUACUAAUUGGUUGUUUGAAGCGGGCUGUCCAGCUGGCAGCCGUUUGGGCCGCUAGAAUGGCCCUGGGGUUGCUGAUUCACUUCUCUCCCAAAGACUGAAUGGCCUAUUAUUUGAAAGGGAGGACGGAGCCAACCCAGUUUGCCCUGGCUUGCUGCGGGUGACCUAGGAGGCAGGCCGCCUCUCCAGGGUUUCUCCUGAACUUUGAAGAAGUCGUUUGCACCUUAGUGCAAUAAACUAGUGCCUCAUCUGGUGCCCUGGAGCCUGGAGGUCAGAGACGAUCAGGAGCCCGCAGGGACAGUGGAUAGUGUGAGAAAGAGACACAAGGAGAAGCUGAGGUGUGUGAACCGGUCAGCCGGGAUAGUUUACAGUCCUCUGCAUUUGUUACCUCACCCAGGACCCUCCUCCUACUCAUUUUCCUGAGCUGAGAAGCAGUGACAACAAAAGGGACCGUGGAGCGGAUGAUGCCAACUAUUAUGGCUUCUGGCCUCUUGGGGCUUCCUUGAUUGAAGAAUGUAAACCGAUGGUGGCAAAGAAAGGAAUAGUCUUGCAGGAGAAAGACCAGGCACUUUGGAACGAGUCUCUCUUGGGCCUGGCCAGGAGGAGAAAGGAGGACAUGAAUCUUUGAAACACUUAUGAAAGGCACCUGGCCCAUCUCCUGUCGAGGGUUACGCUCUUCUCUCCUGCAGAAAGGAAGAAACACAUCUAUGGAGUACACACAACUGCGCGGGCAGAGAUCCUGCUGCCACAGCCAUUAGUGUCAUCGUCAUCAUCGUCGUCAUUGUCAUCAAAAAGCAUCUUCUAAGCACCUGAUUGCCAACAACCAAUAAAGAGGGAGACCAGGUGGGAAGUACCUGAACUUGAAGGGAAGAGGCCUGGAUUCCCAUCCCAGCUCUUACUUCCAAGGAGCUCUGUGCCUCUGGGCACAAGGGGCAUGGUUCCCCUUGCCCCUCUCAAAUUCGUCACUGCUAUCACAGAUACAGCCCUCACCCUCCCCAUUUCCCCAGCCCAUGCCCACUGCAGGCAUGGCUAACCAACCACUAUCCCAUGGAGCCUUAGAACAUGGCCUCGGAAACCUUCACACAGAACUCCCAACAGCCAUUGCUCACUGACUUGAAGGGCGCUCAAGUUGAAACCUAUUAGCCAUUGCGGUCCUGAAGGAAUUUAUAACCUGAGAAUGGAAUUCUGUACCAAGAACAGGCCAGGUCACUCAGAAGAAAAGAAAAACAAAAAACGUAAAAAUCAAUAAAGCAAUAAACCCACCUGAACAAUCUGGACUAGCAAGGUGAAUGAUACUUAGUUACUAGGCAAAGGUAACCUCACUGAAUUGUUUUGUUUGGAUAGAUCCAGGGUUAAAGAUAUUGAAACACACCCCAAAUCAGAAACGCACUCUCUUUAUUUGACAGAUAAGGAAAUGAAAGCCUCAGUGGUUGUGACUUCCCAGGCCCCCCAUCUUGGCGGUGGCCACAUCAAAAACCCAGCUUUUCUGGUCCCCAACCCAAUGGUCUCUCUACCCACUGACCACAUUGUCUUGCUCGGCAGGGGAAACACAC